rnacentral:lncRNA from 1 species
CAAGCUUUUUGCUGGCAUUCUUCCUUCCUUGUUUUCCUUCAGUAUCCCCUGACCCUGCCUUAUUUUCCUUCUUCCUUUUUCUGUUAUUUCUCCCUCCCCACAAAAAAAAAAAUGUAUUGAGUGAUUUGCAAAUAACCAGUGAGAUAUGCUACCCGCCUCUUUUGCUCUCCCCUCCAAGCCCCAAAGAUACCCCUAUUCAACCAAUCACAUUGGAUAUCUAAAGAUAUGGAAAAAAGUCUUCAAUCAUAGGAAACUAACAUAUCUUCUUUCAUGAUUGCAAAACUGCAGCAGCUGUUAACUCUUCUGAACGAGGAGAGCGGGAGCUACCAUUCUCAGGCUCCUUGGGGAAAGAAGAGCUAAAUCAGCCAUGUGAGACUGUCUCUAUUGAACAAGAUUGGACAUGAACAAAGCCAGUCUAUUCUCAGCUUGCCAGCUGCAGCUCAGCUUUUGGGUGAAAUGAGGUAUUUAUUUGCUCUCUUCUUCUCUCCUUGUAGAGGCUCCUCUCAUAUGAAUCAUGCGUGUGAGACUCCUUGUACCAUUUAAAAUUCUUUCUGUCAGCUCCAUUCUAUCUACAUCCAUAGGAAUAUUCAGUAGAAAUAUCUGGGGUAGAGUGUGGAGGAGAAAGUUUGAGAUUACAUAUAAACUCAUCACUGGAUUUUGAGACAGGCUAAGUCUCCACUGCUGAUAACAAACUUGUCUUAAAGUCAGAGCACCUGGCCCAGACACUGCCCUAGCUAUCUCUUGUUCUGGCUGAAUUGGAUCCGUAACCUUUCAUCGUACUACAUAGAGGAUGCACCAAAUUUAGCUGCUGAAUGAUGACCAGGAGCUGUGUUAUCCUCACUCAGAACAAAUAUUCACAAGGCUCCCUGUGAUGGGAGCCUCUGGAGCUGGGCCAUGGCCAUUCUGGAAGCAUGUCACUGGAAGACACAGCUUAAGGUUCACACAAGAAGAGGCCUUUCUUCCGAGCAAGGGAAGUCACAGAAGUUUAAAGACCUGUCUCCAUGGUCCCAGAGACAGUGGAAGAGUAAGUCUGUAGACUAGCCCUGAAUUCUUUCUUGCCUGAGGUCCAAGAACCCUCUCCUGGGUCUGGAUUGGCACCGCUUUCCAGUAACAUCUUCCUGGCAACCAUGAAGGGACUACACUGAGGAAACCUGACUCAAAGGAAAUAGAAUGCAGCACCAAUUAGCCGACUUUGGAUGGACUCUGCUUAUUCCUGUGAACCAACCACUGAUUUCUGGCUGCUGCUCAGAAGAAACAAGAGGUAUGG